AUUCCAUAUUGCAUUUAAAAAUAUAUCGAUAUAUCUUAAAUAUGGAUAUAUCGCCCAGGCCUAUCAUGAACCUCUUACUAACGUUUACUCAUAACGAGUUCAUGGGCUCAGUAUUGGUUCGUGAUUGGUUUGUGUUUGGUAACGCUGAUGUGUCGUAUUAAAGUGUCACUCUUCUGUUUUUCAGGACUCUACAAAGACAGCAGAGGGCGCCACUGAGGCCAGAGCCCCCACCAAACCCGUGGGGACUGAGUUUAUUCGUUUCUACUGCGCUUUGUGCCACGUCAUGUACUCGGAGCAACAGGAGGCCAAGGCUCACUGCAGUACAGUACAGCACUACCACAAGUACAAGGAAAUGACCGGGAAGGACCCUGGAGCUCCUAAGACUGAAGACUACGUUUCCCACAAUUCCACUGGAGCCUCAGAAUCGGCCUGUUUUAGUUUGACCUUUUUUAGUCCAUGUUCUGUUUUAGUCGUGUUAAGUUUUUACUGAAAACUGUCUGAAAAAGCUUCAUGUGUCACUGAUUUAAACUGAAAUAAAUGCUUUAAAGACUGUCUGUUCUGGAUGAGAGUUAUUUCCAAGAUUAAAAAGUCUUAAACUGGAUACAAGUCUAAUUUAGGCAUAUAAUUUCUGUUCCUAUUUUGCAAAAGUAUUUUAAUUUAAUCGAAGAUUGUUUUAAAUAUCUAUUGCCUAUUUUCCAUAGUUUUUUUGUUGUCACUUUUGAGCUCAAGUGUCCUACUUUUCAUUCUUAACUGGUCUCCCUACUUAUGGUUCUCUGCUCAUUUGUUUCUAAUUGUCCCCAUUUGUCAACAGAAUAAUAUGGAAUAUCAAAGAAACAAUAUUUCCAACACACGUUUCCUUCAUCAGGAAAAUACAAAGUAAGAAAUGACAUAAAUAAUUACACACCUGGCACGAUACACCGAUGAAAAAAAUAUCUCCCUAUUUUUCACAACCCAAUGUUGGCAAGUAUGGCCACUGCAGGUGUCGUACAUGUUGUGUUUUUUACUCUUUAAUUGUCCAUGAGAGUAAAUACUACGCUGA
rnacentral:lncRNA from 1 species